AUUAAACGCUGGCGGCAUGCCUUACACAUGCAAGUCGAACGGCAGCACGGGGUGGUAACACUCUGGUGGCGAGUGGCGGACGGGUGAGUAAAGCAUCGGAACGUGCCCUGGAAUGGGGGAUAACGUAGCGAAAGUUACGCUAAUACCGCAUAUUCUGUGAGCAGGAAAGCAGGGGAUCGCAAGACCUUGCGUUCGAGGAGCGGCCGAUGUCGGAUUAGCUAGUUGGUGGGGUAAAGGCCUACCAAGGCGACGAUCCGUAGCGGGUCUGAGAGGAUGAUCCGCCACACUGGGACUGAGACACGGCCCAGACUCCUACGGGAGGCAGCAGUGGGGAAUUUUGGACAAUGGGCGCAAGCCUGAUCCAGCCAUGCCGCGUGAGUGAAGAAGGCCUCGGUUGUAAGA
rnacentral:rRNA from 1 species